rnacentral:rRNA from 1 species
AAUAGAUACCCGGGUAGUCCACGCCGUAAACGAUGGAUGCUAGCUGUUAUGAGUAUCGACCCUUGUAGUAGCGAAGCUAACGCGUUAAGCAUCCCGCCUGUGGAGUACGAGCGCAAGCUUAAAACAUAAAGGAAUUGACGGGGACCCGCACAAGCGGUGGAGCGUGUUGUUUAAUUCGAUGAUAAGCGAAGAACCUUACCAAGGCUUGACAUCCCUGGAAUUUCUCCGAAAGGAGAGAGUGCCUUCGGGAAUCAGGUGACAGGUGAUGCAUGGCCGUCGUCAGCUCGUGUCGUGAGAUGCUUGGUUAAGUCCAUCAACGAGCGCAACCCUUGUAAAUAGUUGAAUUUUUCUAUUUAGACUGCCUCGGUAACGGGGAGGAAGGAGGGGAUGAUGUCAGGUCAGUAUUUCCCUUACGCCUUGGGCUACAAACACGCUACAAUGGCCGGUACAAAGGGCAGCCAACCCGCGAGGGGGAGCAAAUCCCAUCAAAACCGGUCUCAGUUCGGAUAGCAGGCUGAAAUUCGCCUGCUUGAAGCCGG